GCCAUUUGUGUUCUUAUUGCUCACAGUAGUACACUGGAAUCCAGCAGCUCAUUCUUACCCUCUCCAUAUUGUUGAAGUUUUUUACCUGAAAGAAUACAUGAAGGGAAGACAGCAGGAAAACCAGGUGCUUGUGAUGUUGGUUUACCAGAACACUGAAGUUUUCAGAACUUUUGCAAAUAGCACCUCAAAGCAAAAUUUUCCAGCAGGCUGCAAGUGAGCUCACUUUCCAAAAUACUUGAGUUGAAUACAACUGAAGUUAAUGAAAAGGAACUGCUGGCACCAGCUGUGUGGAAUGCAAGUUGUACAACGCUACUGAAAGGAUCACUACAGUGGCUCAUUUGUUACUGACGGUGGAUAUCUGUAGUAUUCUCAAACAUGGCUGGUUCCUUUGCUUUUAUUAACUUGAAGCAGAUAAGGGCAAAUAUAUUACAGCACAGUUAUGACUCAGAUGUUUGAAAUUUUCAUAAAAUAAGGGCUGCCUUAUUCUUCACAACACUACGUAUAUUUAGGCAAAAACAAAACAAAACAUGAAAACUUGUAUUUCUUGUAUUAACCGUGAUGCUAAAAUUGCAUGGAUUUGUGGAGAUGAACUGUGAGAACAUAAAGGUACAGAGGAAAUUUUAUUACUGGUCUCUGCAAAAUUAAAGGGGUUUAAAGUGGAAAAAACUCAUCAGUCUCCUUUUGAGAAACUCCAUCAGAGCCAUUUUGAAUAUGGGAAAAAGAAAACCCACAAAGUAUGUUGCAAGGGUAAUUGAACCCUGCACUAAACCAGAUGCCUUCAUGUGGCUCAGUAUAUGCAUAACACAAACUGUUCUUUCCUUGGCAUCAUCCUUAGAGCUACAGAUUUUGUAAAAUCCAUCUAAUCUCACCCUCCCAUACCUGCGUUUUGUCUGGAAUGCCACUAGGUAUGAAUAUUUGCUGGAAGUAGAAAGACAUCUAUCUGUGAAUAGCCGAUAGAAACAUUUCUGAUGAGUAAGAGGCAACAUUUCUUAAAUUAAUUUUUCUGCAUAACAGAUGUAUGCAUCAUCAGAAAGCCAUGAGUUACUUGUACUGUACUUUGUGAGUUACUUGUAGUUAUAUAAUCAUGGGUUUUUCUUGCUAGAAGAAAGAAUUAAUAAACAAAUAUUGCCAUUGUAACACAGAAAUAUGUAUUUAAAAGAGCUUGACUUAAAAAAAGCUAUGAUCUUUCCUAAGUGUGUUGCAAAGCUUUUAAGAAUAAUCAAGCAUUUAAAAGUUAUUUAACAUUUGGUAAGCUAUAUCUAUUAUUCAUGGUGGUAAAAUGAAUAAGUAAUAUCAAAUGACAGAAGAUUGUUGAAUUUUGCUUGUAAAAAAGAACUAUUACUGGAGACUGCUGUUACCUCACAAAAAGAAUCUUAAAAAUUAGGCAAAAAAAGGUUCUGCAUUAAAGCACACUCUUCUUUGU
rnacentral:lncRNA from 7 species